UAAUUCGAUGCAGCGCGAAGAACCUUACCUACCCUUGACAUACAGCGAAUUUUCUAGAGAUGGAGAAGUGCCUUCGGGAACGCUGAUACAGGUGCUGCAUGGCUGUCGUCAGCUCGUGUCGUGAGAUGUUGGGUUAAGUCCCGUAACGAGCGCAACCCUUAUCCUUAGUUGCCAGCGAGUAAUGUCGGGAACUCUAAGGAGACUGCCGGUGACAAACCGGAGGAAGGCGGGGACGACGUCAAGUCAUCAUGGCCCUUACGGGUAGGGCUACACACGUGCUACAAUGGCCGGUACAGAGGGCAGCGAAGGGGCGACCUGGAGCGAAUCUUAUAAAGCCGGUCGUAGUCCGGAUUGGAGUCUGCAACUCGACUCAUGAAGUCGGAAUCGCUAGUAAUCGCGAAUCAGCAUGUCGCGGUGAAUACGUUCCCGGGCCUUGUACACACCGCCCGUCACACCAUGGGAGUGGGCUGCACCAGAAGCAGAUAGUCUAACCUUCGGG
rnacentral:rRNA from 1 species